CGCCGCGCUGGCGGAGAUGAAGUGCUGCGCCGACAGCUCCUGGCUGCGGCGGAACUGGCGUUCCAGGUCUGCCAGCGUGGCGU
rnacentral:tRNA from 2 species